CCGGUUCUCCAUUUCAUAAGCGAUGUUGUUGAUCUCCUCAGCGAUCUUCUCGAUUUCUUUUCUGGCUUGUUCCUCUGCAGUUCUCUCCUCGGUGUUCAGUAUGAUGUCUUCCAGGCGCCUUUGCUCCACCUGGCGCCGACCGCUCUCUUCUGCCUCCCGCAUGCGCCGUUGGCGCUCAGCCAGCAUGGCAAAGGCGUGGAUCCUCCUCUCCUCCUGCAGCCUCACCAGCUCUUUGGACAGGAAGUCGAACAUAUCCGCCAACACUCUUCCUUCCAGGUCACCCAAGUGGUUUUCAACCACUGACAACUGAAAAACAAUAAAAAA
ensembl:antisense Maats1os MYCBP-associated, testis expressed 1, opposite strand